AGGAUAAACGCUGGCGGCGUGCCUAACACAUGCAAGUCGAACGCCCUUUUGUGCCGCAAGGUGGAAGAGGGAGUGGCGGACGGGUGAGGAACACGUGGGUGACCUACCUUUCAGUGAGGAAUACCGGCGAGAAAUCGCCGACAAGACCGCAUACGCUUCUCUGUUCAAUCGGGGAAGGAAAGCUUUUUCGCAAGAGGAGGCGCUGGAAGAUGGGCCUGCGGCCGAUUAGCUAGCUGGUGGGGUAAUGGCCUACCAGGGCGACGAUCGGUAGCUGGUCUGAGAGGACGAUCAGCCACACUGGGAUUGAGAACGGCCCAGACUCCUACGGGGGGCAGCAGUGAGGAAUUUUUCGGCAAUGGGGGCAACCCUGACCGAGCAACGCCGCGUGCAGGAGGAAGGUCUUCGGAUCGUAAACUGCUUUUCUGUGGGAAGAGAACGGACGGUACCACGAGGAAGAAGCCCCGGCUAACUACGCGCCAGCAGCCGCGGUAA
rnacentral:rRNA from 1 species